AAAGUUUCGUUUUAUUUGUAGAGCUGAAUAAAUUUCGAUACUGGCGUUUCCGCUCUACAUCUGAUCUGAACAUAUAAAACACGAAAUCGAAAACAACUUUUCGCUAAUCACAAGGCAUGAAGCAUCAGAUAAUCUUCCUGCUUCUUGCAACUAUGCUGGUUUUGGUGGCUUGUCAGGGUGAAACUAUAGAUAGUGAUGCUACCGAAACAGAUGGUGAACCAGCCGUUGAUGGUGGUGGCAAUGGAAAAGGGGAAAAUGAAAAUAAACAAAAAGGUAAAGAUAAUGCGUGUAAACGAGGAAAA